rnacentral:rRNA from 1 species
UGAUCUUAGCGGCGGACGGGUGAGUAAUGCUUAGGAAUCUGCCUAUUAGUGGGGGACAACAUUUCGAAAGGAAUGCUAAUACCGCAUACGUCCUACGGGAGAAAGCAGGGGAUCUUCGGACCUUGCGCUAAUAGAUGAGCCUAAGUCGGAUUAGCUAGUUGGUGGGGUAAAGGCCUACCAAGGCGACGAUCUGUAGCGGGUCUGAGAGGAUGAUCCGCCACACUGGGACUGAGACACGGCCCAGACUCCUACGGGAGGCAGCAGUGGGGAAUAUUGGACAAUGGGCGCAAGCCUGAUCCAGCCAUGCCGCGUGUGUGAAGAAGGCCUUAUGGUUGUAAAGCACUUUAAGCGAGGAGGAGGCUACUUUAGAUAAUACCUAGAGAUAGUGGAGGUUACUCGCAGAAUAAGCACCGGCUAACUCUGUGCCAGCAGCCGCGGUAAUACAGAGGGUGCAAGCGUUAAUCGGAUUUACUGGGCGUAAAGCGCGCGUAGGCGGCUAAUUAAGUCAAAUGUGAAAUCCCCGAGCUUAACUUGGGAAUUGCAUUCGAUACUGGUUAGCUAGAGUGUGGGCGAGGAUGGUAGAAUUCCAGGUGUAGCGGUGAAAUGCGUAGAGAUCUGGAGGAAUACCGAUGGCGAAGGCAGCCAUCUGGCCUAACACUGACGCUGAGGUGCGAAAGCAUGGGGAGCAAACAGGAUUAGAUACCCUGGUAGUCCAUGCCGUAAACGAUGUCUACUAGCCGUUGGGGCCUUUGAGGCUUUAGUGGCGCAGCUAACGCGAUAAGUAGACCGCCUGGGGAGUACGGUCGCAAGACUAAAACUCAAAUGAAUUGACGGGGGCCCGCACAAGCGGUGGAGCAUGUGGUUUAAUUCGAUGCAACGCGAAGAACCUUACCUGGCCUUGACAUAGUAAGAG